rnacentral:rRNA from 1 species
CGGCCCUCGUGCCGAAGCUAAAGUACUAAGUGCGCCGCCUGGGGAGUACGGCCGCAAGGCUAAAACUCAAAGGAAUUGACGGGGGCUCACACAACCGGUGGAGCAUGUGGAUCAAUUCGAAGCAACGCGAAGAACCUUACCUGGGUUUGACAUGCACGGAUGCCCUUCUGGAAACAGGAGUAAGCUGCCUUCGGGUGAAACGUGCACAGGUGCUGCAUGGCUGUCGUCAGCUCGUGCUGUGAAGUGUCGGGUUAAGUCCCUUAACGAGCGAAACCCUUCUCGCUAGUUGCCAGCGGCUCAUCCCGGCAACUCUAGCGAGACUGCCGGCCCUCCGCCGGACGCGAAGGUGGGGAUGACGUCAAGUCAUCAUGGCCUUUAUGCCCAGGGUGUCACACGUGCUACAAUGGGGCGUACAGAGCGACGCAAGACCGUGAGGUGGAGCAAAUCGCAGAAAGCGUCCCUCAGUUCGGAUCGGGGUCUGCAACUCGACCCCGUGAAGCUGGAAUCGCUAGUAAUCGCGUCUCCGCCAUGACGCCGUGNAUAUGUUCAUGAGCAUUGUACACACCGCCCGUCAAGUCAUGGAAGCUGGG